CUACGCCCCUACGCCCGUACCUGCCUCUCCCUCCUGCAAACGGAGGUGGCGCCGCGCGGCGGCGGGAUCGGUCUUCCCGAUCGCCGGGGGGCCAAGCCGCCAAGGGGAGUUCACCGCGCGCUUCAUCCACGCGCCCAACACUCAGCACUGAUACGGAGUAAUCAAGCUGACGAGGGAAGAUGCCGUUGAGACAAAUCUUGGAUUGCAUUGAAUUCAUUCAGAUCAAACGAAAUCUCUCCUGCACCAUCUCUUGCUAAGCAUAGCACUGCCUUAUUUCACAAUUACUUCCUCUGUCCCAAAAUAAGUGCAAUUUUAGCACUAUUCAUGCUAAGUGCAGUUUUAGCACUAUUUAAGUUCAACGUUUGACCAUUCGUCUUAUUUAAAAAAAGAUUAUGAUUAAUAUUUUUAUUGUUAUUAGAUGAUAAAACAUGAAUAGUACUUCAUGUGUGACUAAUUUUUUUAAUAUUUUUUAUAUUUUUUUUCAAAUAAGACGGAUGGUCAAAGUGCUAAACACAAAUAUCUAUGGUUGCACUUAUUUUGGGACUUAUUUUGGGACGGAGGUAGUUAGAGCUGCAAAUUCUUGGCGUUUUAUUUGUGGACAAUGCGCUGUAUCUUUACUGCGAUGGAACCCUUAGCCAUUUGUGCUACUCAACUUCUUCUUUUGAGCGAAUUGCAUGCCAUUCCA